CUUCACGCCCGGGGGGACCCGAACCUUCUGAAUUUUAUAAUAAGUAUCUUCUGAGUGGUUAAAAAAAUGAAUCAAAACUUUCAACAACGGAUCUCUUGGUUCUGGCAUCGAUGAAGAACGCAGCGAAAUGCGAUAAGUAAUGUGAAUUGCAGAAUUCAGUGAAUCAUCGAAUCUUUGAACGCACAUUGCGCCCGUCAGUAUUCUGGCGGGCAUGCCUGUUCGAGCGUCAUUACGCCCCUCAAGUCCCCUGUGGACUUGGGGUUGGGGAACGGCGAGGCUGGUUACAAGCACAGAUGACCCUUAAAAUAAUUGGCGGUCUCACCGGGCCCUCCUCAGCAAAGAGUAAAAAACGCGCACACGACGCGGCGCGGCCACUGCCGAAAUAACCCCCAACUUUUAAUAUUGACCGCUAGGCAAGAGGGAUACCCGCUGAAGAAAAAAAGCAAUAAACGGAG
rnacentral:rRNA from 1 species